rnacentral:rRNA from 1 species
GGGCCCGCACAAGCGGUGGAGCAUGUGGUUUAAUUCGAUGCAACGCGAAGAACCUUACCAGGUCUUGACAUCUGGCGAACCCUGUGGAAACAUGGGGGUGCCUUCGGGAGCGCCAAGACAGGUGGUGCAUGGUUGUCGUCAGCUCGUGUCGUGAGAUGUUGGGUUAAGUCCCGCAACGAGCGCAACCCCUGCUAUUAGUUGCUAACACUUAAGGUGAGCACUCUAAUGGGACUGCCUGUGACAAGCAGGAGGAAGGUGGGGAUGACGUCAAAUCAUCAUGCCCUUUAUGAUCUGGGCUACACACGUGCUACAAUGGAUGGUACAGAGAGCAGCAAGACCGCGAGGUGGAGCGAAUCUCAAAAAGCCAUUCUCAGUUCGGAUUGUAGUCUGCAACUCGACUACAUGAAGUCGGAAUCGCUAGUAAUCGCGAAUCAGCAUGUCGCGGUGAAUGCGUUCCCGGGCCUU